rnacentral:rRNA from 1 species
AUGGAAUAUGUGGCGAGCUAUCUCAAAAAAGUCCGAAGCCAUUCAUCUUUGGGACCAAGCUGUAUGCACGUAGCUGGGCUCUCCAUGGGCAGCAUGGCGCUGGUGAACACCAACAAAGCCUUUGACGCUCUCCUAAAUUAUGAGAACUGUUCCUUCAGAUGCAUGCCAAAACAUCUUCGUCUCACUAUUCACUCCCUGGAGACAUCGUCAUUAAUCUGUAUUGUCACCUAUAGCUUGUAUGGCAAACUUCAUGUUCAUAAUGUUUUUGUGCCAUGUGUGAUGCGCUCAGCAGUUGGUUAUAUUCCCUUGUGGAUUAUUGUUUCCUAUAAAGAGUGGAUCAUCCAUCUAAACUACUAUACAAGUAUCAAUGCAGAUGACCUUAAUUAUCUUUCUUUCUCUUUCAAUCAAUUUUAG